UACAGAGGGUGCAAGCGUUGUUCGGAAUUACUGGGCGUAAAGCGCGUGUAGGUGGCGAUGUAAGUCGGGUGUGAAAUCCCUUGGCUCAACCAAGGAAGUGCACUCGAUACUGUGUCGCUUGAGUACUGGAGGGGGUGGCGGAAUUCCCGGUGUAGAGGUGAAAUUCGUAGAUAUCGGGAGGAACACCUGUGGCGAAGGCGGCCACCUGGACAGUCACUGACACUGAGACGCGAAAGCGUGGGUAGCAAACAGG
rnacentral:rRNA from 1 species